GCUGCUGCUGCAUAUAUACAUGCGUCUGUCUCCCUCCUCCUCCUCUAUAAUUAAGUUCAUUCUUCUUCUUCUUCUUCUUCUUAUUAUUCUUUAUCUCAUGCAUGAAGUAUCUCUAAUAAGUUAUUCCGAAAUAAUUCAUAUCUUUGUAAUUGCAAGUUAUAUAGGAUCCGGCCGGAGUUCUAAGGCUGCGUUUGGUUCGGGUAUAAGUAAGAACUGCUAGUUCUAGGGAUAGGUACAAGUUCAGGUAUAAGCAGGAACUAGACCAAUUUUGCGUUUGGAUGAAAAUUGGGUUGUUCCUAGGAAUAAAAUAAAUAGUGUUUGGAUGGUUAGAUUGGAACAAGAGGAAUAAGAGUUACAAUUUGAAAUUAAAAUUAUAUUAUGUAAUUAAUAGUAAUAAAAAUAUUACUUAAAAAUAAAUAAGAACUUAAUUAUUAAUAAUUAAUUAUAAAUAAUAAUUAAUAAUAAUAAUUAAUUAUAAAUAAUAAAUUAAUAGUAUGGAUGAUCUAAUUAAUAAUAAUAAUAAUUAUUAUUAAUUAUUAAUAAAUAAUAAUAAUUAUUAUUAAUUAUUCUUAUUAAUUAAUUAUAAAUAAUAAAUUAAUAAUAAUAUAGAUUAUCUAAUUAUUAAUAAUAAUUAAUAGUAAUAUUUAUUAAUAAAUAAUAAUUAUUAUUAUUAUUUAAUUAUAAAUAAUAAAUUAAUAAUUAUAUCCAUUAUCUAAUUAUUAAGAAUAAGAAUUAUUAAUUAAUUAUUAAAAAAUAAUUAUAAUUAUUAAUUAUUAAUUAUUAAUUAUAAAUAAUAAAUUAAUAAUAAUAUCGAUUAUCUAAUUAUUAAGAAUAAAUAUUAUUAAUAAUUAUUAAUAAGUAAUAAUUAUUAUUAAUUAUAAAUAAUUAAUUAUAAAUAAUAAAUUAAUAAUAAUAUCGAUUAUCUAAUUAUUAAGAAUAAAAAUUAUUAAUAAUUAAUAAUAAAUAAUAAUAAUUAUUAAUUAUUAAUAAUUAAUUAUAAAUAAUAAAUUAAUAAUAAUAUCGAUUGUCAUUAAGAAUAAUAAUUAUUAAUAAAAAAAAUAAUGAAUAUUAUUAAUUAUUUAUAAUUAAUUAUAAAUAAUAAAUUAAUAAUAAUAAUUAUCUAAUUAUUAAUAUUUAAUUAUAAAUAAUAAAUUAUUUAAAUUAUUUAAUAAAUAAUGAUUUAAAUAUAUUAAUUAGAUUAAUUAAUAAUUUACUGCCAUUAAAAUUAAAUUUAGAUUUUAAUUAAUCUUGUUCUCAUCAAGGAACAAGCUUGUUCCAAGAAACGGGUGGAACAGCAGUUCCAGCCUUAUACCAGCUAGUUCCAGAUUCCCGAGAAUUACUGUUCCCGGGAGCCAAACAUAGCGUUUGGGAACAAAGGGGGGAACAAGGGCUUAUUCCCCCCCUUGUUCCCCAACCAAACACUACCUUAGGGUAUUUUGAGACUCGUGGACAACUCCGUUCGGCGAAUUGAAGGAGCACGCGACGGUUCGGUGGGUUUGACUUAGCCACACAAUGAGAAAAUCUCAUUGUUGACGAUUUAAGUGUUAUAAAAUGAAAAAGCAUGCAUAUUCUUGUUAUAUGUAUUUAUUGUGAAUUUUAGAAUGCUUAAAAUGCUUAUGUUGCAUAUAGUAAAAUUUUGGGCCUCUAUGUAGUAGAGAGCAUGCAUGUGUGAUAUAGCAUUCUGGUUGAGAUAUGAAACUAGGAUCCCUACUAUGAAAAUGAACCUUGCUUUCAUGUAUUUAGCUUAUUU
rnacentral:lncRNA from 1 species